AAAUUGAAGAGUUUGAUCAUGGCUCAGAUUGAACGCUGGCGGCAGGCCUAACACAUGCAAGUCGAACGGUAACAGGAAUCAGCUUGCUGAUUUGCUGACGAGUGGCGGACGGGUGAGUAAUGUCUGGGAAACUGCCUGAUGGAGGGGGAUAACUACUGGAAACGGUAGCUAAUACCGCAUAACGUCGCAAGACCAAAGAGGGGGACCUUCGGGCCUCUUG
rnacentral:rRNA from 1 species